AGCACUCCAGACUGGUCUGGUUUCUGCUCCGUUUCCCUUCAGGGAAAUCAGAAGCAGGGAAGUCGAGGGAGUAGUGAGAGGGGCAGAGCACUCCAGUAAAAAGGAGUGCGAGGAAGUGGAAGCAAAUAACAACAGGGGGAAAAGAGAGAUUGGUCUAUGUGGCAGCUGCUCCGGGACUCUCACAGGAGAGCAUUCUGAGCUGCACUAAUUAAUCAGCUGAAACUUCAUCAAGUCCUUCGAGAAUCUUUAAAGAUCCCCAGUUGGAAUAUUGGAGAUUAACUGACAAUGUUGCUCUGACAACUGUUUAGCAAAAGGGAAAAGGAAAUCUACGAGUCAGGGCAGAGUGAAGGUUAACACAAGGACAGUCUGCAGAGACAAAGAACCCACUGAUGUCUGAGGCCUGUCUCUGUCACUUUUGAAACCUUGGGUCCCAUUCCUGACAUACUGAGUCCAGGGGAACAGAUUGGCUGCAGCUUGAACCUGAGCUUAAGUCUUUUGACUGCCCAGUGGUCUGGCUGAGGGGGCAACUUGUAACUAUCCUGCCCUAUUAGAAUAAGACGUCCAGCCACCUCUCUCAGAACUCAGUCAAGCAAUAGAUGAUUGAGAGGACACAGGAGACUGCAGCCGUUAGAAUCUGGAGCAACCAACCAUCUGCUGGAGAAACUCAGUGGGCUGAGCAGCAUGUGGCGAGUGUGGGUUUAGGUCUGGCUGCUUUCUUGAGGGACAAGCGCAUACUCCAGCGUUCAACUGGAUGAAUUUGCAGCUAGUGUACUGGGCAAAUGGGUGAACAUCCGAAGAUUAGCCCAUUUACUAUGAAGCUUGGGAGGAAGACAUGAGCCAUCAUCGGACCAUUGAAACCGAUCAGACAGUUCUAGUUCCCUAAGAGGGGACGCAGAGGAAAUUCAUGAGGCUACUUCAGGCCUAGAAAAUUAGUUUUGAGGAGAUACUGGCUUGGCUGAGAUUAUUUUCCUUCAAACAACAGGAGACGGAGGGAAAAUUUGCAGAGGUGAUGAAAUGGUUACGCAGAUUGAAUAGGGAUGACAUAGCAGAGAGAAAAUAGAAAACAUGGACACGGUGGAUGAAGCGAUGUCCCAUGCUGUAAAUUUCAAUGAAUCUAUCAGUGUCAGUUCUGUCUUGUUUCUGAGGCAGAGUUUGUGAAGUCCUGCUCUAAGACCUUGUGCUUUAUAUGUGAGCACAGAAAUCUAGACUACCAAUUCAGUGCAGUACUGAGGGCUUGCUUCAUUAUUGGAGAGAUGUAUCAGCUGGCCUCUCUCUCUCUCUCUCUCUCUCUCUCACAGGUGAAUGUAAGGGGUCCCAUGGCAUUAUUUUGCAGAAGAUAAAAGGAGUUAUCCCUUGUGUCUUAGCAAAUACGUAGUUAUUCCUCAAUCAACAUCACAAAUACUCAUUAUCAUUUAUUAUUUGCAGGUGGUUGCUAUCCAUUAAUUAGCUGCCCCAUUUCCCAUAUUACCACGAUGAUGACACAUUGAAGAACAUCAUUAGUCAUAAAGUGCUUUGAGACAACCCAAGGCCACCGUACUAUUCAAAAGCAAGUUUAUCCUUGCAAUCAGUGCCACAGAGAAAGCCGGUCAGGGAAUGAAGAUGUAGAGGAAUUUAUUACCAAUGCAAUGCCAUUGUGGUGGUUU